GAUGAACGCUGGCGGCGUGCCUAAUACAUGCAAGUCGAGCGAACAGACGAGGAGCUUGCUCCUCUGACGUUAGCGGCGGACGGGUGAGUAACACGUGGAUAACCUACCUAUAAGACUGGGAUAACUUCGGGAAACCGGAGCUAAUACCGGAUAAUAUAUUGAACCGCAUGGUUCAAUAGUGAAAGACGGUUUUGCUGUCACUUAUAGAUGGAUCCGCGCCGCAUUAGCUAGUUGGUAAGGUAACGGCUUACCAAGGCAACGAUGCGUAGCCGACCUGAGAGGGUGAUCGGCCACACUGGAACUGAGACACGGUCCAGACUCCGACGGGAGGCAGCAGUAGGGAAUCUUCCGCAAUGGGCGAAAGCCUGACGGAGCAACGCCGCGUGAGUGAUGAAGGUCUUCGGAUCGUAAAACUCUGUUAUUAGGGAAGAACAAAUGUGUAAGUAACGAUGCACGUCUUGACGGUACCUAAUCAGAAAGCCACGGCUAACUACGU
rnacentral:rRNA from 1 species